UACGAAGGGGGCUAGCGUUGCUCGGAAUCACUGGGCGUAAAGGGUGCGUAGGCGGGUCUUUAAGUCAGGGGUGAAAUCCCGGAGCUCAACUCCGGAACUGCCUUUGAUACUGGCAAGCUAGAGUCCGGAAGAGGUAAAGUGGGAACUCCUAAGUGUAGAGGUGGAAUUCGUAGAUAUUAGGAAGAACACCAGGUGGCGAA
rnacentral:rRNA from 1 species